rfam:Ancylostoma ceylanicum strain HY135 Acey_s0935_scaf, whole genome shotgun sequence.
UCCGUUGUGGUCUAGUGGUUAGGAUUUACGGCUCUCACCCGUAAGGCCCGGGUUCGAUUUCCGGCAACGGAA